UAAGGAAUAUUGGUCAAUGGAGGCAACUCUGAACCAGCCAUGCCGCGUGAAGGAUUAAGGCCCUCUGGGUUGUAAACUUCUUUUAUAUGGGAAGAAAUGUUCUGAUUCUUCAGAGCUUGACGGUACCAUAGGAAUAAGCACCGGCUAACUCCGUGCCAGCAGCCGCGGUAAUACGGAGGGUGCAAGCGUUAUCCGGAUUCACUGGGUUUAAAGGGUGCGUAGGUGGGCAGAUAAGUCAGUGGUGAAAUCUUCCGGCUUAACCUGAAAAUUGCCGUUGAUACUAUUUGUCUUGAAUAUUGUGGAGGUAAGCGGAAUAUGUCAUGUAGCGGUGAAAUGCUUAGAUAUGACAUAGAACACCAAUUGCGAAGGCAGCUUACUAUAUAAUUAUUGACACUGAGGCACGAAAGCGUGGGUAGCGAACA
rnacentral:rRNA from 1 species